AAUUCUUCUUCGAAUGUCUAAUAGAAUUCAGCUGUGAAUCUGUCUGGACCUGUCUCUUCUUCCUCAGGGACACCAAUUAUUCUUAGGUUUGGUCAUUUAACAUAAGUACAUGUGCACAAUGUGCAAGUUAGUUACACAUGUAUACAUGUGCCAUGCUGGUGCGCUGCACCCACUAACUCAUCAUCUAGCAUUAGGUAUAUCUCCCAAUGCUAUCCCUCCCCCCUCCCCCCACCCCACAACAGUCCCCAGUAUCUGAUGUUCCCCUUCCUGUGUCCAUGUGUUCUCAUUG
rnacentral:lncRNA from 1 species